rnacentral:tRNA from 1 species
AGAAAGGUAGUUCAGUGGUUAGAAUGCCAGACUUGAAGUCAGGAAGACUCAUUUUUCUG